UGGGGAAUAUUGCACAAUGGGGGCAACCCUGAUGCAGCCAUGCCGCGUGUGUGAAGAAGGCCUUCGGGUUGUAAAGCACUUUCAGUUGUGAGGAAAGGGUGUUGGUUAAUACCCAUCAUCUGUGACGUUAACAACAGAAGAAGCACCGGCUAACUCCGUGCCAGCAGCCGCGGUAAUACGGAGGGUGCGAGCGUUAAUCGGAAUUACUGGGCGUAAAGCGCACGCAGGCGGAUACUUAAGCUAGAUGUGAAAGCCCCGGGCUCAACCUGGGAUGGUCAUUUAGAACUGGGUAUCUAGAGUCUUGGAGAGGGGAGUGGAAUUCCAGGUGUAGCGGUGAAAUGCGUAGAGAUCUGGAGGAACAUCAGUGGCGAAGGCGACUCCCUGGCCAAAGACUGACGCUCAUGUGCGAAAGUGUGGGUAGCGAACAGGAUUAGAUACCCCCGUAGUCC
rnacentral:rRNA from 1 species